GAUGAACGCUGGCGGCGUGCUUAACACAUGCAAGUCGAACGGUGAAGGUGGGAGCUUGCUCCUGCUGGAUCAGUGGCGAACGGGUGAGUAACACGUGAGUAACCUGCCCCGGACUCUGGGAUAAGCGUUGGAAACGACGUCUAAUACCGGAUACGAGACGAGAAGGCAUCUUCAUCGUCUGGAUAGAUUUUUUGGUCUGGGAUGGAAUCGCGGCCUAUCAGGUUGGUGGUGAGGUAAUGGCUCACCAAGCCUACGACGGGUAGCCGGCCUGAGAGGGUGACCGGCCACACUGGGACUGAGACACGGCCCAGACUCCUACGGGAGGCAGCAGUGGGGAAUAUUGCACAAUGGGCGAAAGCCUGAUGCAGCAACGCCGCGUGAGGGACGACGGCCUUCGGGUUGUAAACCUCUUUUAGUAGGGAAGAAGCGAAAGUGACGGUACCUGCAGAAAAAGCACCGGCUAACUACGUGCCAGCCGCCGCCGUAA
rnacentral:rRNA from 1 species